AAUCAACGCUGGCGGCGUGCCUCAGACAUGCAAGUCGAACGAUUAAACUUGCCUUCGGGCAAGAUAUAAAGUGGCGCACGGGUGAGUAACACGUAAGCAAUCUACCUUCGAGUGGGGAAUAACAUCGGGAAACCGAUGCUAAUACCGCAUAAUGCAGCGGCACCUAAUGGUGACAGUUGUUAAAGGAGCAAUUCGCUUGAAGAGGAGCUUGCGGCAGAUUAGCUAGUUGGUAAGGUAACGGCUUACCAAGGCUACGAUCUGUAACCGGUCUAAGAGGACGGUCGGUCACACUGACACUGAAUAACGGGUCAGACUCCUACGGGAGGCAGCAGUCGGGAAUUUUGGGCAAUGGGCGAAAGCCUGACCCAGCAACGCCGCGUGAAGGAUGAAGUAUUUCGGUAUGUAAAACUUCGAAAGAAUGGGAGAAUCAAAUGACGGUACCAUUUAUAAGGUCCGGCUAACUACGUGCC
rnacentral:rRNA from 1 species